UACGUAGGGUGCGAGCGUUAAUCGGAAUUACUGGGCGUAAAGCGUGCGCAGGCGGUCUGUUAAGACAGAUGUGAAAUCCCCGGGCUUAAACCCUGGGAACUGCAUUUGUGACUGGCAGGCUAGAGUAUGGCAGAGGGGGGUAGAAUUCCACGUGUAGCAGUGAAAUGCGUAGAGAUGUGGAGGAAUACCGAUGGCGAAGGCAGCCCCCUGGGCCAAUACUGACGCUCAUGCACGAAAGCGUGGGGAGCAAAACAGG
rnacentral:rRNA from 1 species